rnacentral:rRNA from 1 species
GACGAACGCUGGCGGCGUGCCUAAUACAUGCAAGUAGAACGCUGAAGGAGGAGCUUGCUUCUCUGGAUGAGUUGCGAACGGGUGAGUAACGCGUAGGUAACCUGCCUGGUAGCGGGGGAUAACUAUUGGAAACGAUAGCUAAUACCGCAUAAGAGUAGAUGUUGCAUGACAUUUGCUUAAAAGGUGCAAUUGCAUCACUACCAGAUGGACCUGCGUUGUAUUAGCUAGUUGGUGGGGUAACGGCUCACCAAGGCGACGAUACAUAGCCGACCUGAGAGGGUGAUCGGCCACACUGGGACUGAGACACGGCCCAGACUCCUACGGGAGGCAGCAGUAGGGAAUCUUCGGCAAUGGACGGAAGUCUGACCGAGCAACGCCGCGUGAGUGAAGAAGGUUUUCGGAUCGUAAAGCUCUGUUGUAAGAGAAGAACGAGUGUGAGAGUGGAAAGUUCACACUGUGACGGUAUCUUACUAGAAAGGGACGGCUAACUACGU